GGAGUGGACAGCUCAGCAGGAGAGCACCUGCUUAGCAUGCACAGUGUCCUGGGUUCAAUCCCCAGCACCUCCA
rnacentral:tRNA from 1 species